AUUGAACGCUGGCGGCAGGCCUAACACAUGCAAGUCGAGCGGUAGCACAGAGAGCUUGCUCUCGGGUGACGAGCGGCGGACGGGUGAGUAAUGUUUGGGAAACUGCCUGAUGGAGGGGGAUAACUACUGGAAACGGUAGCUAAUACCGCAUAAUGUCGCAAGACCAAAGUGGGGGACCUUCGGGCCUCAUGCCAUCAGAUGUGCCCAGAUGGGAUUAGCUAGUAGGUGGGGUAACGGCUCACCUAGGCGACGAUCCCUAGCUGGUCUGAGAGGAUGACCAGCCACACUGGAACUGAGACACGGUCCAGACUCCUACGGGAGGCAGCAGUGGGGAAUAUUGCACAAUGGGCGCAAGCCUGAUGCAGCCAUGCCGCGUGUAUGAAGAAGGCCUUCGGGUUGUAAAGUACUUUCAGCGGGGAGGAAGGCGAUAAGGUUAAUAACCUUGUCGAUUGACGUUACCCGCAGAAGAAGCACCGGCUAACUCCGUGCCAGCCGCCGCAGUAA
rnacentral:rRNA from 1 species